rnacentral:tRNA from 1 species
GGGGCCGUAGCACAGCGGCAGAUGCGUCGACCUGCACAGUCGAAGGACGCCGGUUCGAAUCCGGCCGGCCCCA